rnacentral:rRNA from 1 species
UUAUAUUUCUGUUAAUAAAUCUCAGAGUAGUAACAGGAAAUCUCCAAACUCAAAAAAUUUGGCGGCAUUUUACCCUAUUAGAGGAGCCUGCUCCAUAAACGAUGACCCACGCUUUAUUGUACCAUUUUUCAUAGUUUGUAUACCGCCGUUUUGAAGAUAUUAUUAAGUAUCUUUUAAAUUAUUUUAAUGAAUAUAUCAGGUCAAGGUGCAGCUUAUAAAUUGGAGGAAGUGGGCUACAUUAAAAUAAAUUAAACGAAAAGUUGAACUAAAAUCAUAUUGAAGGUGGAUUUAAUUGUAAUACUAUUAUUAAAUAGUAUGACUAGGUUC